rnacentral:rRNA from 1 species
CGCGUAGGCGGGCCUUCAAGUCGGAUGUGAAAACUAUCGGCUCAACUGAUAGCCUGCAUCCGAUACUGUUGGUCUUGAGUACGGAAGAGGAGAGCGGAAUUCCAGGUGUAGCGGUGAAAUGCGUAGAUAUCUGGAAGAACACCAGUAGCGAAGGCGGCUCUCUGGUCCGAUACUGACGCUCAAGCGCGAAGGCUAGGGGGAGCAAACA